GAUGAAGAACGCAGCGAAAUGCGAUACUUGGUGUGAAUUGCAGAAUCCCGUGAACCAUCGAGUCUUUGAACGCAAGUUGCGCCCGAAGCCAUUAGGCCGAGGGCACACCUGCCUGGGCGUCACACGUCGUUGCCCCCCCAUCUACUCCUUCGGGAUUGCGGGGGGCGGAUGAUGGCCUCCCGUGCGCCUCGUCGCGCGGUUGGCAUAAAUGCCAAGUCCUCGGCGACGCACGCCACGACAAUCGGUGGUUGCGAAACCUCGGUUGCCCGUCGUGUGCGGUCGUCGCGCAUCGAGGGCUCGAAAAAAUUGCCGGGCUCCGGCUCGGCUUUCAACGCGACCCCAGGUCAGGCGGGGUUACCCGCUGAAUUUAAGCAUAUCAAUAAGCGGAGGA
rnacentral:misc_RNA from 1 species